UUCAUUAGUGUGCCUAGCAAGAUGUCCAGGAUAUUCUUCUUGAUAUGCAUUUGAUUAAGGCAAUUAGGCGUGUCGUGAUUGGGCCAGUAGUCCAAGUCCUAGAAAAUAGACCUCGUUUUUCAUACCUUUAACAACGGCUCUGACGCCUUUUUCAUCUUUCCUGACGCAUAGCAAUGUUUCCUAGUUUUGAAUAGCUCAUCGAUUUUGG
rnacentral:lncRNA from 1 species